AGCAGCCGCGGUAAUUCCAGCUCCAAUAGCGUAUAUUAAAGUUGUUGCAGUUAAAAAGCUCGUAGUUGAAUUUCGGGAUUGGCGCAUCGGUCGUGCCUUACGGGGUAUGAACUGGUGCAGUCAAUUUCUCACCUUCUGGAGAACCGCGAUGUCCUUAAUUGGGUGCCGCGGGG
rnacentral:misc_RNA from 1 species